GGGUCCAAUAUUUGUAAAGAGAUUACCAGUAGUGAACUGUAUAGGGAGAUGGGGAGACGGGAAAAGUUUAGAGAAACGUCCAGAAGAAGAAAACCUAAGGAAAAUCUACUGGAGAGAUAUUUAGCAGGACACCCUGUAUACGUGUACAGAGCAAAAGGAUCAGUUAACGCAACGAAACCUACACAACUGAACGUCCACAUAGGGUGCUAUUUUCUCAGUGAUGAACAGUUAGGAGAAAAGCUCUAUAUAAAAGGACAGAAUAUGAACGGCCAAGCAGGAGAAUUACGGUCAUCAUAUUUAAAGGCUGUAUUUCAAG